CCGCCGCCACCAUGCGAUGAAAGCGGCAAAGAGUAUCAAUCUUCACACUUCCAAGGUCAAGCGGUAUAUCCUGGUGUUCAAUCGACGGGCUUAACGACUCAACCUGGUUUGCAUUAUGGCACACAAACUCCUCCUGGACUACAGCAAAGGGCGUCACCAUUUUAUUCACAUAGUCAGCCCCAGGAAGAACCCAAGGGGCAGCCUCAGUGCUACCCCCAAUAUCAGCCUGGAUAUCCACCGCCACAGCUCUGCCCAGGCGGACAUUACCCGCAGGGGUCAUAUAGCGUUCAGCAGCCUUAAGGACAUCCUAUCCCUGGACAACCGUGUAUUACUACACAAGUCGUCGUCACCCAGCCUGUUCAGCAGCCAUGGUAUGUGGUGCCCAUUUCUCGACCACCAGACUACCUGAUUCCCGCCAUCUUGGCAUGCUUUUGUUGCUUUUGUCCCACUGGGUUUGCCGCCAUCUGCUACGCCUAUCAGGCUAACAGGAUGGCGAUGUCAGGCAACAUGAACGGUGCAAACAGAUCGUCUAACGCCGCGAGACGCCUGGUUAUUGCAAGUGUCGAUGUUGGCGUCAUCAUUAUCGCAGUUACGACCGUGCUUAUCUAUAAAGAAAGGCGCCAUGGGCCCUAAGGCGCUCACCUGAGACCCAAGGAACUAAACAAUUCUGGGAAGGUGGAGUUCAAAAUAAUAACGUUCUUCUUGAAACAUAAAUAUUAUCAUAAGAUUCACAAGAAAAAAUUUGCUCGCCCCUGGAAACCAUGCACUUCAGAGCACCGGA